CAGUCGCCGCGGGAAUACGAAGGGGGCUAGCGUUGCUCGGAAUGACUGGGCGUAAAGGGCGCGUAGGCGGCGAUCAAAGUCAGGCGUGAAAUUCCUGGGCUCAACCUGGGGGCUGCGCUUGAUACUUGGUUGCUUGAGUGGGGAAGAGGGUCGUGGAAUUCCCAGUGUAGAGGUGAAAUUCGUAGAUACUGGGAAGAACACCGGUGGCGAAGGCGGCGACCUGGUCCUUGACUGACGCUGAGGCGCGAAAGCGUGGGGAGCAAACAGGAUUAGAUACCCCAGUAGUCCCUGUCUCUUAUAC
rnacentral:rRNA from 1 species